rnacentral:rRNA from 1 species
UACGUAGGGCGCAAGCGUUAUCCGGAAUUAUUGGGCGUAAAGAGCUCGUAGGCGGUUUGUCGCGUCUGCCGUGAAAGUCCGGGCUCAACUCCGGAUCUGCGGUGGGUACGGGCAGACUAGAGUGAUGUAGGGAGACUGGAAUUCCUGGUGUAGCGGUGAAAUGCGCAGAUAUCAGGAAGAACACCCGUGGCGAAGGCGGCUCUCUGGUACGUGACUGACGCUGAGACGCGAAAGCGUGGGAGCGAACAGG